GAGAAAGCGUUGCCGCAGGCAACGACCCGAAGGGUGAGGCGCGAAGCGACGAAUAAUCCUUCCCCCGCCACCA
rnacentral:sRNA from 1 species